GGUACGGGGGAUUGAACUUUCUGCAUGCAAAGUGGAUGCUGUGCCGCUCAGCUACAAUCCACUGGGCUGUAUGGGACGGUGUGCCACAAAUCCAAGCUUUACUCAGUUGCACCUCUGUGCCCCUAAUGAGCCCAAACACACUGAUUGUGUGUUUCUGCUUGUGACUGUCUUUAGGCCAGUUUUGCCCUGAGAAAGAAUCAAAACCUGCUCUUGCCGUAUAUUUUUUUCAGUUAAGUGACACCGCCUUUCUCUCUCUCUUUCUCUCUAACAGUGGUGUACCUGAGGACGCGACUAUGGACGUCCUAGGGCUGCGUGCCAGAGAUAUAGAUUGCAACUGGAAGCCUGAAAAGGCUUGCUGAAGGGGGACUAGUUUGUGCCUUGGGCAGAGGCAAGGGCAUAAUGGAACAUUUUGGAACAGGAGCCGGGCAGAGACAAGGAGGUGGAAGUAUGUGGAAAGUUAUGGGUGGCUUAGAGGGGGCUGGCUGGCGUCCUUGCCCUAGCUGCCUCAGAGAGAGGCUUCAGGGACCUGGGGGUGGUCUAUUUCUGCUGAGAUCCUGAAGAAAGAUCUGGGAGAAUGGUAAGCAUCUAUAAAUAGAGUGUGUCAGCCGAGUGGAAAUGGAGCCUCUAAAGCGCUAGAGAGAGGGAGACAGAGAAAGAGACCAGUGUCUUGAUAAACAGGUUUGUGUUGUGGGGAGGACUGUGUUUGUAAUGAGAUCCGGGACUGAGCAAUGGGGGCCUGGGAAUAGGGGUGAUGGUGCGGAAGCUACUUCCUGUUUGGUUGGGGUGUGUACGUCAAGGCCUUGUCCAAAGGCAUAAUUCUAGUUGUGUGGAAUAAUGUCCAGGUCAUAUUGCCUUGGGUGCAUGCUCUGGCAAGAAUGUGAGGGGGAUGAAGAGUGCUGAGUGGUUUGGGAAUCUCAAUCUAAAAACACCUCUGGCCUGUAUUCCAGCUUGUGAUGAAUGAGUCCUCUGGGCAACAGGCCUUCCUAUGGAACUUUUAGCUGAAGUGCUGAAGCAGCCUUCCCGCUCAACCUGGUUCCUUCCAGAUGUCUAUUUGGGACUAAAAUCCCAUCAACCCUAGCCAGCGUGAUCAGUGGGUCAUGGGAUUUGUAGUCCCAACAAACCACCUGGAAGCCACCAGGUUGGGGGCGGUUGUUUAAUAUUAGAACGGGUCUCUGUUUUGUAGGAGCCUUCUAUGUGGUCACCUGUUGGUUGGUCGGUGCCAUGAACUUCACAGGAUACCACGGCUCUCUCAGCCAGGAUAGAACUAUCUUACCUGUUAAAACAAAUCCCAAGGAGUUGUUGAGCAGAGAUGUUUCAAGGUGCUUCAGGACCAAUUCAUCAAUUCAAAUAGCAAGGGGAACUAACAGUAUGGGAACCUCUUGUUGUCAUUGGAAAUAAGGAUAAAUAAAGGUGGGUUGUUGUUGUUGUUUUUUAAAAAAAGUUGCACUGAUGUGGUGGAAGAGUGAGAGUAGGGCCAGAGCAACUUGAGACAGUGCACACUAAAACCAGAGGCAGAAUUUGCAGGAAAGUUGCCUAUAAUUUUGGCAAGCUUUUGCAGGAGACCUACCUAGUAGAUCAUGCCAACCAUGGAGCUAGGCCUGUUUGUCUGUCACCCUUAAUAAUGCUCCAAACCCAUUGCUUGAAGCUUCUGUCCCACCUUGUUUAUGGUAGGAAUUCAUUUGGGUGAUACGUGAGGAAGAGGAGUAUGUUCACUUUCUAGACUGAGAGUGUCCCUAUUGUGGAGAUUAGGGAUUCUGGUGGUGGUUAACAAGUAAGAUUAUUCUAAAGCAACCUUCCCCAAACUUAGUUUCCUCCAGGUGUUGCUGGACCACAACUCCCAUCAUCCCUGACCAUAUGGUUUGGAGAUGAUAGGAGCUGGAGUCCAACUAUAUCUGGAGGGCACCAGGGUUGGGAUGCCUGGUUCUUGCACUGGUGGUUGUGGAUGAGUGGUGGAUAGCGUAGCCCUGCUCAGUUAGUGCCUUGCUAAAGUGAAUGUGCUCUGCCAACCAUGCAUGCCACCCUGCUGGGCAUCCAUAUCCCGUGUUGUUAUUUUGCCACCUGCCCAGAGAUAUGGGAAUGUCAAAGCACCUGACAAGUCUGACUGGUGGGUUAUAAGUUGUGCAGGCCAAGAGAAGAGAGAGACUCCGCUAGAUAUUCUGCACAUCCUUGGAAAUUGCAAAGUUCCUCAUAUGAUGAUUCCACCCUCCUUUCUUUGGAGCAAACAGAUAACAGAGGGGAGGAGGAGGGCUGUUUCUGUUUUCACGUUUGACAUGUGUGUGUUUUCCCUUCUAGGAGAAAGGGGUUAAAUUUAGUCAGUUUGGAUAAUCUGCAUCCAUGGACUUGCAAGUUCCUCAUCAUGCAUGUUGCCAGCCCUGGCAAAGGGGGAUGCUUGCUUUAUGCUUUUGAAGCAAUUAAUCAACCUCUCUCAUUCAAACAUGACCUUAAAAAAUAAAAUAGUAUAGUAAUAUUCUGGAUAGUCAAAGACUUGUGAUUUAAGUAUUCUUGAUAUUGGGAAGGGUUGUAGCUCUGUGGUGGAGCAUCUGCUUUGCAUGCAGGAGAACCCUAGUUCAAUCACUGGCAUCUCCAAGUGGGACCAGGAGAGAACCUUUCCUGAAGAUAUGGACAGCCGCUGCCAAUCAGUGUAGACAAUACUGCGCUAGAUGGGUCCAUGGUCUGACUUGGUAUAUGGCAGCUUCCGGGGCUCCUAUCUUAUCGCUGUCCCCUCCAAAGGUCACAGUGGGUUUUUGUUAAGAGUUCAGCAUCCACUUCAAAAAGUUAAGUCACACUUUUUUAAAAAAACAACACAGCAAUGCAAAAUCUGUCAUGGUGCAUGGAAACUGACAGUGUUCUUCAGGCCAUUGACGUAUUAGCGUUUUGUCUGCCUCGUUUGUGGUGUAGCAUGAAUAUGGUGACCAUGGUGCAUGAUUCAUGCUGCAUGUGUGAUGGGGUUAUGGGAGACAAGACACAAGAUUCUUGAACUUGUAUGAUCCUCUGAACGAAUGAGUAUCGCACGUUGUUGGAUGUGAGCAUGUGCUAGUACUUUGCACAGAUCGUUGUGAUGAAAAGCCCCAUUGCAUGGAUGUAACUGCAUGUUUAUUCCUAGUGGUGGCAUCUCCCCUACAAGAACUGUAGGCCACAAAUCUGAUGCAUGUUUACUUGGAAGCAAAUCCCAUUAUCUUCAGUGUGGCUUAUUCACUGUAAAGGAGUUGAGGGUUAUUACCCAGGUCUCUUUCCAUGCCUAACCUGCAGACCUCUGUCAUAAGGGGCAACCUCUUCUUGAGCUCAGUCUCUAGUGUCAAGUGCAUCAAAUUGUGGAUUUCUCUUAGAUGCAAGCUAGAACACAAAACUUUAAUAUGUGGUGCAUUCUACCACAACGUAUAUCCAAACGUAUGCUGAUGUAUUUGUUUAUAGUUGUUUCCCUUUACAGUAAAAUGCUAGUUUAAAAAUAUCUGUCUACUGGCAUUUCUUUUGCAAAUUAGCAGGCAACCAGGCUUUUGGGUGCUGCUACAGUUAUAGGAACACAGGAAGCUUCUUUAUAUUGACUCAAACCAUUGGUCAUCAAGCUCAGUUUGGUCCACAUGCUGGCUGGCAGUGGCUCUCCAGGGUUUCAGGCAAUAGUCUCUCCCAGCCCUACCUGGAGAUGCCAGGGAUUGAACUUGGGACCUUCUGCAUUCAAGCAAAUUCUAUGCCACUGGACAACAUCCCUUCCUACUGGAGUGUUUGACUCUAGUGCCUGUUACAAAAGCAUUUGUGGCUAAUUCUAUGCAUGCCCUCUUAAAAGAAUCAGCUUUGGCUUCAGCCUUGGUGCUUUGGAAUUUGGUCUUUCCUGCUGUUCCACAGAGAAGGUAGUGGUCUUCUCAAGGCUAGCUAACAUAGGUUGCUGCCUUUAUACUGAGUCAAACAAUUGGUCCAACAAGCUCACUAUUUUCUAUACUAACUGAGAGGAUUUCAGGCAGGAGUCUCUCCCAGUCCUAUUUGGAGAUUCUAGGGACUGAACCUGGGAUCUUCUGCAUGCAAGGCAACUCUGCUGCUGAGCUAUAUUCCUUACCCACGAUACCCAUCUAGGUAUCAGUCCAGGGAUUGAGAGCAUUGACUUGGUGCUCCCAAGAUACAUGCACUGCUACAGACCCUUGCCAGGCUAUGUGGCUAGCAGUAAGCAAACAGCUGGGGACCAUAGCAGGGCUGGUGUCUUGGGGCAAAAAGGUACUUGCCUUUCCCUUGAUGCUUUAUUGGGUGAUAAAGCUCCAGAGUCUAACUGGGUCUAAAGCUUGCAUGCCUAGUUCUAGUAUCAGUCAUGCAGCAUAGCAUAGUAUGAGUUUAGGUGGUGCUUAUUUUAAGUUAGAUCUGGGGUCUGUUUUGGCUUGGCUUGGAUCAGGUGAAGUAGGAGUGUUUUCUCUGCAGGGACAAUUCAUGCUUCUAUCAGCUGACCAAAACUUAAGUAUCCUACACCAGGAAUGAACCAGGAGGUAUCAUAGAAUCAUAGAACUGUAGAGUUGGAAAGGAACAGUUGGCUUUGACUCCUGAGCAGAUGCGUCUCUGGUGCCUGUUGUAUUGGAGCAGGGGUGGGGAAAUUUUAGCCCUCCAGAUGUUGCACUCCCAACUCCCAUCAGCCUUAACUGGCAUGGCCAAUAGUCAGGGAUGGUGGGGAAUGUAGUUCAACAGCCUCCAGAGGGCCAGAGGUUCUCCAUCCUUUCGUUAUAGCAGGGUUUCCCAAACUUGGGUUUUCAGCUGGUUUUAGACUAUAAUUCCCAUCAUCCGUGACCACUGGUUCUGCUAGCUAUGGAUAAUGGGAGUUGCAGUCCAAAAGCAGCUGGAGACCCAAGUUUGGGAAACUUUGUGUUAGAGGAAGGAAAGGAUAGACCUCUAAUGAAAUUGGUAUUAAGGUGUUACCUUGGUUUUGUUAGCUUUUCUAGUUUUUUUGAUCUGAAUAUUUUAAAGAAAUAGAUAUCCUUUCUGGCAAGUUUUACAGCACUUGGUUCCAAAACAAAAAUCCUGUCUUUAGGCAUAUUUCCACAAAAUGUUUGUAAAGUAUUAAUUACUUUCAGGGUAAAAUACACUAAAGCUGAACUCUGAUCCCUACCUACCCAGGAAUAAGCCCCAUUGAAUUCAGCAGGACUUACUUCUGAGUAGACAUGGCUGGGAUUACCUUGUAAAUCUUCCAGCUCUUCUUGUAUAGGAAGUUUUGGCAUUUUGAAGCCCAGCCAUAUCUUUGUAUUAGACAUCCCAGGGAGCAAUACUUGGGGCUGGCCUAAGAUAUUUUGCUGCCUAAGGCAGAGAAUCAAAUAGUGUCCCUCGCCCACUUGAGUCAAGGUGCAUAGCAUCCAAGGGCGGCCAAGUUAUUUCUACGAGGCAGAAAAUACCACAAGCACCUUUCCCCCCUCCCUGCCGGUAAAAAUACAAAAACAAUAAAUUAAGUAACCAGCAAUUUGCUGUCCUUUCAUUAUACUCAAAAUCAGCUGCCUGAGGCAGCGUCCUCAUUCUGCCUAAUGGUAGGAUCGGCCCUGGCAAUACUAUGUUGUUUCUCCUUUGACAUUGUGUCCAUACAGUGCCAUAUGAACUUCAGAAGAUGACACCAGCUAAGAGGUUAAUAGAGCAGGAUUCAGGAGUAUGUUCAUGUUGUUCUUCUGUUGAUGUUGUUUUAAACCCAAAGUAUUUGUAUCUGAAUUAUUUUGCCCCAUAACUACUUCACUGCUGUUUCUUCCCUAAGCUGUAAUUACUGUAGUAAAUAAUUGCUGUAAUUAUGAGGCCUUUAAAACAGAGCGAGCGAGCGGGGGAUGGAUGGAUGGCGUCACUUGCUGUCUGUAGAAAAUUGUGGUUACUGUCAUGUACUCGUACUUGGGUGUAUUUUGAGAAAAGGAUGCAUGGGUGUCAAUCGGAGAUGCUUCAGGCCUAGGUGAACCUUUCAUUGUAGCCCAGAGGUAGGCAAAAUAGAGAUCAGGAUAUCCUGGUAAUGAUCUGGGGUAAACCGGAAAUGGACUUCCAAAGCAACCACAAGAAGACUUGUUGUAUUCCUGAAUUAUGCUGCUAAAGCAAUAAACGUCAUGGGGAGGGGAAGACAAGGAGUGGAUUUUGUAGCGUGUAAGGGCCCUGAGCUCAGUUCCUGGGCUGAGGGUGUGCCUGCACAGGGGCACCCAGUUCUAUAAUUCUGAACUGUGCAUUGACUUGCUUUAAGCCAUUGAUUUGCUCCAGACCCUGGACAGCGGACCCCAUAAAAAAACAAAUUACGUCCUGCAAGGCUAAUGUUCAUACAGCCCUGAUGUAACCUGUCGUCCGCUUGAAAGGCCGCCUUUUCCCAUUGAACCUGUCUUAAUUUUUCAGCUCCGUUUAGAAGGCUCUCCUCUGUAUGACUGUAGGUAGGUGCAGACUGGGAUAAGGGCCUUUUUUGUGCUGCUGCUGCUCCAUUUACAGAACACUCUCUUCCCCAGGCUUAUGAGGCACCAGUAUUGGUGCCCUGCAAGCAUCAAGCUAAAAACUUUAUUCUCCUGAACUGGACUGGGAGCCUGCCUUUAAUAUGCUGUUACCAGAGGUGGCCUAAAGAUACCAGAGGUGCCACAGUAUAUUCUAUUGGCUGUAAUUUGUUUUAUACUGGUUUUUUUAAAAAAAUAAGGUAUUUUCAAAUUGCUGUAACCUGCCCUGGGACCUUAUGUUAAUGGGCGGGUAAGAAAUCUAAUAAAUAGUAGUAGUAGUAGUAGUAGUAGUAGUAGUAAUACACAGCAUGCAGUAAUCAAUU
rnacentral:lncRNA from 1 species